AGAGUCACCUGCCUCUGCCUCCUGAGCGCUGGGAUUAAAGGCAUGUGCCACCAAUGCCCAGCUCAAAAGCAAUCGAUUUUUAAAAAGAACUUUUGUUAAUAGAUUGCACUAGAAUUCUGGAAAUAAGGCUACUUGAUAAAUAUUUACUACACCAUUGAAGUCUAUUAAUUAACAUUUUACUUGAAACUUGCACUGAUGUUGGUCAUAGGCCACCAUUGAGGGCAGACAAGGUGCAACUCAAGCAGGAACUUGAAGCAGCAACCAUGGAGAAUGAUGAUUCCUGGCUCACUCAGAUUUAUACUUAGGUAGCUACUUUACACAACCCAGGACCACAUAGCCAGGGGAUGCUGCCACCUACAGUGGGCUGGGCCCAGCUGCACCAGGUAACUAUGAAGGGGAUCCCCACAAACAUGGCCAGAGGCCAGUCUGAUCCAGUCCCUGUUGACAGAUGACUUUUGGCUAUGUUUAGCUGAUAAUUAAAGCUAACUAGGGUAUUCCUUUUCCCCAAUUCAUUUCAGUUAAGUAGCUCAUCCCUCCCCCUUUUCUUGGACAAGUUCCUUGCUUAACAAAGUCUUCUGUUUCUAUUCACUAAGCAGUUUCUACUCUCGCAUUUGUUAAUCCCAUCUAAUUUUAGCUUAUUUUGUUAUUUUCUUCUGAGAGUUCUGAGUUUAAUGUCAGGUUCAUUGUUUCACUUUAUUUAUUUUUAUUUUGCUCACAUAGAUAUUUACGAUAUGAGUCCUCCUAAGCAUUAUUCCAACUACACUCCAUAGACCAUGACAUCUAAUGGCUUUACUACUGCUAUUUUCCCAGAAUUCUGUAUCUUAUGCCUAUUUAUUUUCUUGAUCCAAAAAUUGUUUUGAGUUUUCAUAUUUCUGGGAUAUAAAGUGCUAUAGUUUGUGUGUAUCCCCUCAAAACCAUACACUAAGACCUUAGGUAACGGUAGUGCAAGGCUUGUGUAGCUCGGUGGUCCAGCACGUGUAGAGCAGUCUGGAGGUACCAGCACUGGGACUAAGAAGAACAAUAUUAACAGCAGGAGCAGCAGCAACACCCCUCAUAUGUAUAUAUAAAUAUUCAUCCUUUGGGAAGCCACUAUGUAUCAGGGCAAAGACUCCUAAAAUGAGAUUAAAAUAAGCCCCACAGAGCUGUCAUGACCAGGAGAACACAAAAAGCUCUCCCCAUUACUAAACACGCUCCCUUAAUUAUAGGCUUUCAAGCUGCUAGCACCAUAAUACAUAAAUUUCUGUUAUUUAUAAACCACCCAGUUUAUGGGAUUUUUGUUACAAUGACUCAACAGAUGAAGACAAAGGGUCUUUAAAAAUGAAUUAAUAACCUAAUAAAUGCUUUGAACCUUGA